GAAAGCAUCCCAAAUGACCGAGGCAGAAAGGGCUCCUCCAAACAUGCCGCGCCACGACUGGAAUGCUUGUUUAGAGCGCCAGAUUCCCAAGCAGAGCCCCUCGGCCCACACAGACAGCAGCUCAAUAGGAUUCACGAGCCUGUAAGUCCUUUGCUGUUUCCAUUGCAUUGAGACCUGGGCUUCUCGCUAUCGGUAUUUGGGGCCAGGCCAUUCUUUGCUGGUGGGGCCAUCCUGCACCCUUAGCAGCAUCCCUGGUCCCUACCCACCAGGUGCCAGGGUGGCCGCCUUCCCCUCCCAGUGGUGACGAUCAAAAAUUUCUCCAAAUAGUGCCAAAUUGCCCCUGGUCCAGAAGAAAGAGAAAAGCACAAAUGGCAUGGAGGUCAUUGGACCAUCUGUCUACUUCAGCAACCAGAUGGACAACAAUCAACAGUCAUUGGUACCAAGAUCUUAUGGGCACUUCAUAAUGUUCUUGAGAAGAGACACAAUAUAAACAACGUAAGCCCAACAGUAAUGCAUUUAUUUUUAUUAUUAGUAAUUGAUGCAUUUAAUUUUGGGGUUUUCCAAGUGUUUUCUGGUAUGUCAUGUCACUUAA